UACGGGGGGGGCAAGCGUUGUUCGGAAUUACUGGGCGUAAAGGGUCUGUAGGUGGCUUGCUAAGUCAGACGUGAAAUCCCUCGGCUUAACCGGGGAACUGCGUCUGAUACUGGCGAGCUUGAGUGCAGGAGAGGAACGCGGAAUUCCAGGUGUAGCGGUGAAAUGCGUAGAUAUCUGGAGGAACACCGGUGGCGAAGGCGGCCCACUGGAUCGGUACUGACGCUGAGGUGCGAAAGCGUGGGGAGCAAACAGG
rnacentral:rRNA from 1 species